rnacentral:rRNA from 1 species
GUGGGGAAUCUUCCGCAAUGGACGAAAGUCUGACGGAGCAACGCCGCGUGAGUGAUGAAGGUCUUCGGAUUGUAAAGCUCUGUUAAUCGGGACGAAAGAGCCUAGUGUGAAUAAUGCUAGGAAGUGACGGUACCGGAAUAGAAAGCCACGGCUAACUACGUGCCAGCAGCCGCGGUAAUACGUAGGUGGCAAGCGUUGUCCGGAAUUAUUGGGCGUAAAGCGCGCGCAGGCGGAUCUGCCAGUCUGUCUUAAAAGUUCGGGGCUUAACCCCGUGAUGGGAUUGAAACUACAGAUCUGCAGUAUCGGAGAGGAAAGUGGAAUUCCUAGUGUAGCGGUGAAAUGCGUAGAUAUUAGGAAGAACACCAGUGGCGAAGGCGACUUUCUGGGCGAAAACUGACGCUUGGGCGCGAAAGCCAGGGGAGCGAACGCGAUUAGAAACCCUUGUAGUCC